AUCCCUCUAAGAAGUUCUGAGCUCACAAAAAUCCGAUUCUUCUUUUAAAAUUUUUAAAAAAUGUCUUCUUUUUUAAUUUUUUUAAAAGAAAGGGAGAAACAAAAGCGAUGUGAUGAUAGAAACUCGUAAUUCACUGAUCUAAUAAUUUGAUGUUACAUUGAAGUUCCGACAGGUUCCACAACCAUAUGAGAUUUCUCUUGGAACGGUUUGGAGGGUGUCGCCUGUUUUCUUCCGACAUCGGUAAUGGUCUUUGCACUCUUUCUUUAAAAACUUAUAUAAAUCUUAACCUUGUUUGUUAAUAAGAUUUUUAUGAUUUGCACACUUGUUUUGCAUGUCCAUUGUACGCCUAAGGUGCAGGAGAGAAGAUGAUACAUUUUGUCUAUUUUCUUAUUUAGGAUGAACAAAAGGUAUGCAUAGGAGUGAGCACAUAAUUUGUGGAGGGAAUCUGAACAAGUUUUUGUAGUUUGUACAUGAUAGAUUUCUUUAUUAUAUUGUCUUUUUGAGAAAGAUCUCUCACCUUGCUAUAUGGUGUACAAUGUUUUGAAGAAUGCAUACAUGUAAUUAAGAUUUUGAUAUGCUGGUUCAGUAUAUUCUUAUGUGGA